rnacentral:lncRNA from 1 species
GUAUUCGAUCAUUUGCCUAGUGAUCGAAGUGGCUCAAAAUCAACGGCUGAAAAUAAAAAUCUUACAAAAUAUGAUGAUAUGACAUUAAAAUUUUAGAUCAAAGUUAUUGAUCUUGUUUCAUAUGGUAUAAAGAAUUUUCUAUCAAAAUUUCAUGUGAUUUGGAUAUUUCUACACCGUUAAACUUGCAACCGGCUCACCAUGGCCAUUAAAAUUAUUGAUUUUGAGCCCCUUCGAUCACUAGGCAAAUGAUAUCGAAAAAUCACAAAAUUUAUUUUCUAAAUACUUCAAAUACUCUAGAUCAACUCUAACGGAGCCGAUCGUCGAUUCGAAAGUCUGAACAUCGAAAAUAACUUAGAAACAUGAAGGGCUCCGUGCUUCCAUAAGCAUACCAGCCCACUCUCUCUCUCUCUCUCUCUCUCUCUCUCUAUAUAUAUAUAUUGAUAUAUAUAUAUAGAGCUCACGGGCCAAUCCAUUUUUUAAGGAAUAAUUGCUAAUAUAUCCCUUCAAAACUUCAAAAAUAUAUAAUUUAUUUUUUUUUAAUUUUAAAUAUAUUCUUUAUAUAUUCCUUAAUUAUUCAAAAAUUUUUCUGUAGUUACCAUCCGUUAAGUUAUCUCGGAUUAAACGUGAGUUAAACGUUUAAUAAAGGUAAAAAAAAAUUAAAUACCUCUUUUGUCCUUAAUUUAAGUACAAAUAAGAAAAGUUGGUCAUGACAGGACUCAGGAGGGUAUCUUUAAAAGGACAAAAAAUCAAAAUACUUCAAAAUACUUCAAAAUACUUCUUUUGUCCCUAAUUUAAGGGCAAAUAAGAAAAAUUGAUAAUUACAGAAGGAUAUAUUUGAAGGAGCAAAAUAGUAAUUUCACAUAGAUAACGACUGUUGCUAACAGUUCAAUAACAGAAUUUAACUCUAGGAAUAUAUUUGAAAUAACUUGAAACGUUAAAAGUGUAUUUUUUAAAAAAUAGGGGUAAUUUCAUUCGUACCAUGAAAAGUUCAAAAUUAUCGCAAAUACCCCUACUAAUUUGUAACAUCAAAAUUGCCCCCGCAAAUAUUUACUUUGUUUCAAAAAUACCCUCAGCUCAUUUUAAUCUUAAU